GACGGAGGGUGCAAGCGUUGUUCGGAAUUACUGGGCGUAAAGCGUACGUAGGCGGCGGGUUAAGUCGAAUGUUAAAGCCUAGGGCUCAACCCCAGAGAUGCACUCGAUACUGGCUUGCUAGAGGGUGAUAGAGGAAAGCGGAAUUCCCAGUGUAGCGGUGAAAUGCGUAGAUAUUGGGAGGAACAUCAGUAGCGAAGGCGGCUUUCUGGGUCACACCUGACGCUGAGGUACGAAAGCGUGGGGAGCAAACGGG
rnacentral:rRNA from 1 species